rnacentral:rRNA from 1 species
GAUGAACGCUGGCGGCGUGCCUAAUACAUGCAAGUCGAGCGAACGGACGAGACGCUCGCUUCUCUUAUGUUAGCGGCGGAUGGGUGAGUAACACGUGGCUAACCUACCUAUAAGACUUGGAUCCCUUCGGGUAACCGUAGCUAAUACCGGAUACUAUUUCGAACUGCUUGGUUCUAAAGAGAAAGACUGUCUUGCUGUCACUUCUAUAUGUAUCCUCGCUGCAUUAGCUAGUUGGUAAGGUAACGGCUUACCAAGGCAACGAUGGAUAGCCGACCGGAGAGGAGGAUAGGCGACACUGGAACGGGGACAGGGUCAAGACGACUAAGGGAGGGAGCAGUAGGGAAACUUCGGCAACGGGCGAAAGUAUGACAGAGCAACGCCACGUGAGUGAAGAAGAUCUUCGGAUAGGAAAACUGUAUUAUUAGGGGAGAACCUAUGUGAGAAUGGAUGAAGACAAAGUGACGGUACCUAAUCAAGAAGCAACGGCUAACUACGUG